CCAAACAUCAGUAAUAUGGACAUUUUAUUAUCUAUUAAAUACUAAUAAAAAUGAGUGAUUUAUGUAGCUUGUAAUCACUACACCAUAAAAAUACUGUUAAGAAAAAAAAAAAAAAAACCCAGAUAAAGUUGUCUGUGUCUUUUGCAAAAUACAAAAUGUUUGACUGUCUUAUUACACUAUUAAUAACAUGGGUUUACAAAAACAAAGUUAAUAUAUAGCUAAAUGUUUUUUUUAUGUAAUUGUUGUACAAAUAGCAGGCCCUCUAAAUCUUUAAAACUACAGGUACUUACGUAAUUUCUGCAUCUGUAAACCCAUAUUCUCUUGUCAGAGAAUCUUUUUCGAAGCUGAUGUCUGUAUGAGCAUCAAGAAUAUUUACUCUAACUUUCUCUGUGUAAAACAAAAGUUAAAAUAAACGAGUAAAGAAUGACUUCGGCCCUAUGCUCCACUGGGAGUGAUUAGGAUUAAUAAGAAGAAAGAAUGACUUUUAUAUUCUUUUACAAACAACUCUAGCCUUGUCUGAAAAUAAAUAUUAUCAACGACAUGCAUGUUACUUCUUCAGUAAAAAGCAACCACCAGCCAGAAAGGAAAUCUUAGUUUGAGCUUCAUAUUGAAAAUGGUGAGUGAAAACAUCUACUUGCUCUCGCUCUCUCACACUUACUCAAAACUCACCGAUAAGAGACUGAUCAACUUUUGUUUCUGACAUAACACGUAAAACAUGGUGUGUAUAGUCAGCAGAGAAUACCAAACACUGACUGUUGGAAUCCACUCCUAGCUUAAAUACUUUCACUUCCCCAGCAGUGACCAAGUCAUUCUGACACCAAGAAAAAUAUACUUUAAAACAAGGCUUACCAUGAUGUUUUGGAAAAUUGCCAAAAAAGUAAAUAUUCAAGUAUGAUGCACAUGUCCACACACACUGGCAAACCCACACCAAACUCAUCAUGAAAGUAUUGUAAUGUAAUAUAACAAAUAAGCACUUAAUUAAAAUUAAGAAAAAAAAAAAAAAAAAAUCAAGUAGAUAAUGCUGCGUUGUUUUCAUGCAAUAAAGUUAAAAACCAAUUAUUAUGAAUGUAACAUUUUCUUGAUAUAGACAUACAUAUCAAAAUAUAUGUUUUCUGUUUUGAAAUUACCAAGAAAGGAGUUUCCAGCACUUUACUGCUGUGAAAUAUGUCUGUGCACAGAGCAAUACUCAACCAGCUGUGUGUGCGAUUUUUGACCAGACUGUAUAACUGGUGUUUCAAAAUAAUAGGUGGUAAUCUUUCCUCAAAUUUCUCCAGAGGAAACAAUCCUCGCAACAGCAGUAAGGCAGCUUUAGUGUCAGAUGGUACUUCUAUAAUAAGACAUAAAGUUGCAACUAAUUCACUACAGGUGUAUCAAUGCAACUGAGCUAUAGAUAUAAAGACUGUAAGGUACGAGUUAAAGAUAAAAAGUUAUUUCUGUCAGGAGUGAACCCCUACAUAAAAAUGAUAAUAAAAGGCUCAAAACUUUUAAUAAUAAUAAAGAUUAUUUAUAUAGUGCCACAUCCCAGCCCUAUGAACACGCUCAUGAUGCGUUACUAAUGAUUUUAAUUAUAACAAUUAAAAAAACAAUCAAGAUAAGGAGAAAUUGAAGAAACCAACCAAGAUGACAGGAAAGAAAAAGGAAUAACACGUGGAAUGGGGGAACGUGUAGUGCCAUCUGAUUAAUGACUAAUUGAUUAUAGUACUGAAUAUUGUACUGAACGAAUAUAGUACUCUGUUAUCCAACAAAUCUAUGAAAUUAAAAUAAAUGCAUAAAUUAGGGAAAAAGAAAUCCUGGAGACAGAAGAAAAUGGAGGACCAAACUUGUUUGUGCAGCCUAGCAACAUACUUCACUGUUGAAGAUUUAGUGCUAAGAUUGCAAUAGUUUGUCAUCGAAGAAGCCAUUAGAGAGAACAAAUUAAGAAUGCUGAGGAUACACCUCCCCAGGUCAAACAAGUAAACAGUUUUGCUGCCUCGAGUCAUCAAGACGUUUUGCCACACUGCACAUUUCAUCUAAUUGUUGACAUACACAAACAAGAAACUGGAUCGAGAUAAAAAUGGCGCCAUAGAAGAAAGGAGCAUUACUCAACCCAUCAGCUAAAGCCAUAGAAGUGAAACAAAAUGUCAUGAUCGAGAAACACAGUCCAGCACAUCAUUAGUUAUAUUGUUUAGUUUAUAUUGUUUGCAUAUAUCAAGAUCAAGAAAUGUAUAGCAGCUCAAUCUGCCUGAGACAUCCUCUUGUAGAUGACACUACAAUGAAUAUAUAACAAUUGUAUAAUAUGGUCAGAAGCUAUUUGAAAUGACUUGCAUAGGAAUGCAGAUAUCUAACCCUGCUUGGUACAGCGAUGAAUUAACAUGCUGGAAUGGUUGAGACCUGGAUUUACAAUGACUAUGAAUAUAUAAGACAAGUUUCAGGAUGAAAGUGAUAAAUGUUAUAUUGAAGCUAACUUCACAAUCAUGCUGGCCAAGUGUGAACAACACUUGUGGAAUGUCCCUAAAUUACAUAAGAUUGCAAGAUGAGAAUUCACACAUAAGAAGCCUUAUCUGAGACACUGAGAAUUCAAAGAAAUCUAACAGACAGGCUGUGAGAAACAAUGAAAGGCAAAGGCCAUACAAUCUACUAGGCUACAGAAGACACAUGAUAUGGCUUUUGUUUUUUGAAAGAGAAUAUCCAGAGUUGACAUUAGCUAUAAUGACUGUCUAAUAAUGGCUAAUUUCCACCAGUUCUCUGUCAGGCAUUAUAGCAUUACAAUAAUAAGACACAGCAGGAACAUAUGGAAUGAAGACGAGCAGUGACAACAGCAGUCAUAGACAAUAGACAUCAUUAGGAGCAGGCAGCGGUCUACUUGAAUCAAAAACUGGAAAACAAAAUUUUUAAGUACUUGGGAGCCAGCAUGUCCAAAGAUGGCUGCUGUUUUCCAGAAAUUCACAUCAGCAACCAAACACAAGACCAACAGAUUUGUAGGGAUCACUGUCAUCUCCUUGGGAAGCCCCUAUGAACUUGUUCUGGCAACAGCAAAAAGGACGAAGCUUCCCUAUUUUGGUAAGUGGAUUGCUGUAAGACACCAACACCUUCCAUUUGGACAUCCUGGAUAAAAACUGAUGUUCAGGUUCACCAAAAUAGGAGUGACUGACAAACCUCAUAAAGUGGAGACCUGAAGAUCUGACCAACUUUCUCCCACAGCAAAGCUCACAAUACAAAAGAGAAAAAGAAAGCAUUUUAGCAGCUGCUUGCAGACUCCCAUCCUACCCCUAGUGAUCAAGUCCCACUCCUAAUAACCAAGUCAAAGAUCAAUUUUAAUUGCUCAUUAAAUCACUGCCCUAGUACUGUUUACUUUGAUUUAUACAGACUUUAAGCUAUAAGGUUUGUACAAACUUAUCUUUCUACAAAAUGGGUCAACAAACUGAGUCAAAAAACUAUGUCUAUUCCUCUGGUGAGCUUGAAACGCUGAGCUGUAAUCGAUAAUUAAAAAGAACGCAAGAAUGUGACUGAAAUGUUUAUUACAUAUUAAGUUUGGCAAUCAAGAUGGUGUCUGAUAAUAUCACCAUCCUUCAAAAAAUAAAACUGGAUAUAGGUGAACACUUCAUUACAAUUAUUAGUGUGCAAAAUAUUAAAAAGAAUACGUUGUCAUACUUGACAAACCGUUUGAAUCUCCCCGAGUACUAGGCAUUCCAUUUUCUUCAUUAUUUGCAGAUGAUGGCACAUACUGACGUUUAGCCUUAUAUAAAUCUGGCAGCAGUGUUCUUUUUCGACUCAUUUCUGUAAAGAUCAGAUGCCAGGGAUGAUGACACUAAGUAUUAAUAAUAAUCAUGUAAUAUCCUUUGAGCACUAACAUUUAAAAAAAAAUCUUUAACUUGAAGGCACUAAAGUAACGAAUGUAUAUAGCAUCAUCAAAUUUUAAAAUCUAAAAUUUUAGAAUUAUGUCCAUUUUUGUCACUAGCAUUUAAUAUGAAACAAUAUGCUACUGACUGGAAAACUGGAAAUCUGUAAAGGAUGCUUUGUGUACUCUCUAGGUAUAAGGAUAACUGAGUAAUCAUGAGAGUAUAUGUUGGACUCUAUUACUUAACCUGUUCCCUUUCCUUUUUUUUUUGGUCAGGCCAUCCUACAAGCACAAUGGUUUUGCUGGUGAUACCUGUCUGAUGACCACAUUGUGGACUAAACAUUUUCUUUCAUUUAGGACCAAUCUCUUAGUACUUGUGCAGACAAGCUGAAUUAUGAAUUUGAAAUUACACAUUUGUUCAGUAUUUUGAUAUUUUCUAUUUAUUAAUUUGUUUCAGAACAGCAUUCUUUUACUAUAUAAAAGAACAAAGUCAUAGUAAAGGAGCAACAUCCUUUGUGGGGGCAACCACAAGUAGCACAAGAAUUAGCCCACAAAUGGCAUGGCCUCAAAAAUAAGAUACAAUAUGAGGUCAUGGCUCUGCAGGACAGAGAGCGUUAUUGGAAGGUUGGUUUUUACAGAUUGGUAAUUAAAUUCUAAGAGACUACACAAACUCAGGUGUGGGCGUUAGUGAAAAUAGAAUGAUUGAAGUGAAAUAAUCCUGAAGUGAUCCGAGGGGAUAAUUUAGAUCUAUUCUUUCAUAUGGAGGCAUUGUUCCCAAUGAGCAAUUUUGUGUGUAAAAAUACAUGAAAAAUAAAUGUAGCUUUCCUUAUCUGAAUGUUGCUGCCUCCAAAUUUGUUUUAUUCAGGGUUGGAUGGGGAAAGGUUAAAUAAAUUCUCUCCCUUUAACCGAUUUUCCUUUAGGUAUGGUGUGUUCAACUUGAACUCGUGGGUGAAGGCUGCACUGGGGAAUGCCUGAUUCAGGCUUUUCAGCAACAGCAACUGUUGGCCUUUUUGGAUUAGUUUUAUUGUUAAGAGGGAGAUGUCUCUUUGCUAACUUACUCCCCUAUUUGGUUGUUUAUAUACAGCCUCCACUCACUGUGUUUUCAUAGCAUGCAGUAAAUUCAUUCCGAGAUAAAGUGCAUUAAUUUUGUUCUGCUUAGGCUAACCUUUUUAAAUUGUUUGCUCUCCAGGAAACAUAUAUGUAUACAGCAUAUAUUUUGACAAAGAAGAAAUUUUGGCGAAGUAGACUGGAUUUAUGAGGGAUGAUAGCCAAACCUGAAAGGAGCUGGCACCCCGACAGUGGAUUUAUUCAAGCCGAAUCAAAAGUUGAGGGUGAGGUGUUGGAACGCCCAGACCUUGUAUGAAACUGGAUGCUCUAACAAGUCAAAGAGUUUGACAACUACAACUUGGACAUCCUGGGAGUCAGUGAGGUCAGAUGGACUGGUACGGAGACUAGCGUCAGGACAUACCAUCUUGUUCUCAGGAAGAUCAGACGCUCAGCACUCUGAAGGAGUAGCCCUACUCCUCAACAGGAAAAGUGAAAAGGCACUGCUAGAAUGGAAGCCUUAUGGACACAGGCUUUUUGAGAGCAAGAUUCCAUUCAAAGUACACCAAGCUAACAGUGCUAGCUUGCUAUGCCCCAACAGAACACUCCAAGGCAGAAGACAAGGAUGCUUUUUCUGUUUGUCCAUGUGACACCAGUGAUGGCCAGCCGGUCUUUUAAUCAACAAGUGCUGAUAGAUUGGUUUUGUAGAAAACACAGGAAAGAGUGUUGGGGUGUUUUGAAUUCUUUGCUGUGACUGAGUUUUUCCUUGACAGGAGCGGUCUUCUCGGUGUUCUCAGUGUGUCCUGAGCGGACAGUGUGUCCUCCUUGUAACAAGUCCUGAAUCGACUUGGAGUUUUCGUCCUGACUGGGCUGUGUGCAAAUACUGACGAUUGAUGAUGAUGAUGACUGAUGACGACGGACAGACGGUGGACGGAUGGAUUGGAUGGUUGAUUGAUGAUGAUGAUUAUGAUGCACCUUAUUGUCCUGUGUGCAGAAAAUAUUUAAUGAUUCAUAUAGUAAGAGAGUGUCAAUAUUUGUAUAGUCAAAGUACAAUGGAAUAAUUUAAUAUGCAGGAGAGAGCACUUUCACACAUUGGUGUGGACUACUACUUUGAGAUGAGAAUAAAUGGCCUGACCCAUGUGCUAGCACAAGAAAGGCAAUCAGUUCCAUCGGAUGUGAGGUAUCUGCAUUAAUGUGUGCAGAAAAUAUUCAAUGAAUUAUAUGGUAAGAGAGUGUCAAUAUUUGUAUACCUUGGAAAAUCUAUAAAAUCCUUGCAAUCAGUUAAAUGACUUUUAUAUUUUUGUUAAAGAUGUCAUGCUACAGGGGAAAUGCAGUCAGCCUGAUAGGCAUUGUUCUUGUUUUUAUAACCCACGAAGUCAGUAAAGAACUUACUGGGAGAAAACGGCAAAUUACAGGAAAUAGAGAAAUCCCUUUGUGUUCUGCAAUGAUAUAUAUAAAGAUAUAUUGACCUUCACCAAUUGCAAUGUUUUAAACUAGCUUAUAUCCACUUCAGAUUUGGGAUGUCCAAUAUAACAACACAUAAGCUACGAUACAGAAAUGAUGUGGCCCCACAUGACGUGGCAUGUCCCCUGUGCAAAGAAGAAAUAGAAGAUCAAGCACAUGUACUCGUUUUUUGUUGUUGUAAAGCUUAUACUUAUAUCAGAAUGCAAGUCCCAGUACUGCAAGGUGUGUGCCCUAGAGACCCAAACAAUGUGUCACGGGUUAUGGGAGAUGCGGCUGAGGAAACCAUCAAACAGCUUUCCCGCUAUCUGUAUAGAGUUUUUAAAUUGCGCGAUGCUAGUUUGAUGUUUAAUGACCCAAUGUAAUCUUGGAAUAUGGUUGACCCCUUGAUUUGAGCUAUCGUGCGCUGGUAGAAAGCAUAAUUACAUUCAAUAUUGUCUCUUGGUAUGGCCAGACAAGCGUGACAAACAAGAACAAACUGAGGCGCGUCAUAAACACAGCCAGCAAAAUCGUAGGCUCCUAACAGCUGACCCUUUCCCACCUGUACGAUUCAGCCCUUGUCCGGAAAGCAAAACAAAUCAUGCUUGACCCCACCCAUCCACUCAACCCCCGCUUCGAGCCUAUGCCCUCAAGACGGAGGUUGAGGGCCACUCUUGCGAAAAAGAACGUUUAUAGAAGGUCAUUCAUUCCAUCGGCCAUCUCUGCUCUCAACAAACAAAAAACUAUAAGCGACUAGUAGACCGAACCUGACGUGUUACACACAAGGGGGAUGACGUAAUCCCAUCUCUGUUAUCACUGUCAUUAUGUAGUCAUGGAAACUGGUGUAUUGUCCUUUUGAUGCGGGCGUGUGUGUGUGUGUGGGUGUGUGUGUGCUCACUUCUGCCAUUGCUCAUGUUAUUGUUGAUGUUUUUGAUUUUCUCUCUGCUUGCAUGCUGGAAGACACAUCUCCUUUGCUGGACAAUAAAGUUAUCUUAUCUUACUGUUUGUUAAUGAAGGGAUAGUAUUUAUACUACAUAUACAGUAUUUCGAAAACACAUCGAAAAGAGAUAAUGGAAAAAUAUCCUACUGUACCCAUUGUCUUUUCUCAAUUCACUAAGAAAUGUGGGUUUCCAUCUGAGGAUUGGGGAAAACAGUGGAGGAGCCUGUUCGAAGACAAGAAACAAGGUGUGGUGAAUUGCUACUUGCUUUUCAACACAUUUCUCUUCCUUUUUAUUCUACAUGCCUGCUCGUUCGUAACCAAUUGCAUUAAUGUCAAUAAUAAAAAUUGGGCUUUGCUGAAAAACCUGUGCAUCCUGCACGGAACAUGGCCAUCCAUAUACAUCAAAAACAGAAGAGAUUUGUUGCCGAUAACCUGCAGUUGAAUGAUUAUGUCCUUUUUACGACUGACAAAGCAAAGCAGGAUAGAUCUAAACAACAGCUACUCAAGAAAAAGCUGAAGAAAAGGCAGAGUACAGGGAACAAGAGAAACCCCUUUGUGGUCUGAUUAUUUGAAGUCUUGUAUUACACUGAAAAGAUAUAGGACUGAACUAGUAAAACUGAAAAUACCGAACAUGAAAAAUAAGAUGAACAUUGGUCACACCAAGAUGCGUAUACAUCUGCCUUUGCUAAAUAAAAAUUACUGUCAAUUAUUUUUGUCUCAUUCUAUCUGUGUGGUGCAGAGGUGGAUAUGUGUGAGUACCUUAAAAGUACAUGUUAAAAAACCCCCAUGCAGGUUUCCAGUCUGAGGAUUGGGGAAAACAGUGGAGGAGCCUGUCCGAAGACAAGAAACAAAAAUAUGAAGAUAUAGCUUUCACAUUAAGGAACAAAAGACUUGAUGUGAAUGCCGUGUUAAGAAAUAUUAAAAACAUUGUAAGCUACCUGAUGUCUUGAAAGAAAAAUGUUAGAUAAUGUGAACAAAAAAAUUUCAUCCACCAGAUUUAUGUGCUUAACAAUCUGCCAUGUUUGUGCUUCAGUAUCUAGAUACUUAUUUUUUAUUAACUUUAUUUAUUGCCAAACAUUGUUAUUCAGCAUGGACUGCUGCAGAAAAAGUUGACUGUUAACUUCAACUAAAAUUUAAUAAUAAGCAAAACAGCCCUUGAUAAUAUGGAACUCAAAUCAUUUAGAUGUUGGGAUUCUUAUAAUGGUGCUUGCUAUUUUGCAGAUGACCGUGCUUCGAGAAAAUCAGGAGGAAGUCAGGAAGGCAGUUGGUGUGGAAUCAAUGUGCACACUUGUGUACAAGGAUGGUUCCUUGUUAUGCACUGGAUUUGGCUGCCUUGGGAACCUCCUGAGCGACAGAAGGACUUGCACUGUAUCCUCUCAUGUCACAUUCAUCUUUAUGGAAAUAGAGAUGUUGAAUUUGUAGAUUUGUCUUGUCAUUAUACAAUAUGACACUAUGGUACAUAAGUGCAUAAAGUAUUUCCAAUACUUGGAAGGCUAUUUGUACUGUAAGCUUUUUUUUUUUUUUUUUUUGAUAAUCCAAUUUAUGUUUAUAAGGUCUUGUUAUGCUUCCCCUUGAAACGGGAAAGAAAAAUGGACAAACGAAUAUAAGUGAACCAAAAAAUGAACCAAAAAAUAAAGGAAAGAAAAAAUCAAACAAAGAAAGAAAAAUUUUAUAAACAAGCCUCUUUUAGUGGAGUCCUAUUUCAUCUGAUUCAUCUACACAUAUCCUGACGCCUUGUCUGUCUCUGUGUGUCGCAGAAUCCUCUGAUGGAAAAAGAAAAGGCCACCGUUUAAGCCCAGUCAUCUUGAAGGCAUUAAAAAAAGAAUUUCGUAAAAAUAAUUACUUGAAGCCUGCCGCGCUGAUAAGACUCAUAGAAAGCACGCACCUAGAAGAAGCGGUUAUUAAAGUAAGUACAGUAAACUGGUCCAGUGGUUCUCAAAGUAUUUCGGACCGCUGACCACUUUACUUAAGUACAAAAUAUGGCGGACCACCAAGGCCUAAAAAAUCACUCUGUACUAUGAAUUUCAAAUUUAAAUUGCCGCAUUUGUUUCAUUACAAUUCAAAAUUAAAUGUACUUAACAUUGUAGUUCUUCCUUCCAGAAUUGGUUUUCAAACCAACGGAGGAAGCAAGGAACAAAGCCGGCUAAACAACAACAAAAAAAAUAAAUAAAUAAAUAUGAAAAAAAAACAUUGUCUAUAACCUACAACAAUUUACUGACAUUUACUUCAGUAAUGAUUUUGCCCAUGUACCUUGUGCAUCAAAAACUCUAAUUUGGCGACAGUAGAUCCUUUCACACUGAUGUUUAUGCGCAAGGAUUGUCUCUCGUAUAACAGGCACAAACAAUGAUAUAUCCUGAAGAAAAUAAAACACAAUAAUACGAGCUCGCUACAGAACCUGUAAUAGCAAUGGAAGGAAGAAUAAUGGACAACUCCAAAACAUUGGAUGGGGAAGAAAGAAUGGGCCGUCACCGUGAGAAGACCACCAGCAGCAUGAAAAAAGGUAGACCGCCUCAGUCUGGGGACCGACAGCAACCAAAAGACAGAGGCAGAUCUGCAAAGGAUGGAGGACAAUCUGGAGGAUCAUAAGAUGAGAAGGAGAAUGGUAAGCUUUGCAGCAGCAGCUAUUUUCUUUAGGGUUUUAUUAUUACUGGGUUUUUUUUCUCAAGAAUGCUGCAUAACUAUCAUUUAAGUGCGUCUUAAUUCUGUCAUAACAGUGUCAUGACAGCAUGCAUUAACAUGAGCUUUCGGUCACAUACCUCAGUAUUGUAGCAUUUUAUUUACUUUUCAGAUGAAGUAUCUCUCCUCCAUGGGGGGGGGGAUAAUGUUGCAACUUUGGUGCGCAGCAUACUGAGGAGAAUAUUCUCAACUCCACUUGCACUUCAGUACAAUUUCACUGGAGUUAAGGGGAAAAAAGGAUUCCUUGCACUCAGAGUACGAGGAGUAAUGAUGGGUGAAUUUGCUUUACUGUGUUUGCGGAAAAUAUUUCCAGGAUGUGAACAUUUAAUAUUGAAUUUGUGUUGCACUUUAUCAGUGCCACUGUAAAGGCAUGUGGAUAAUGAAAUGUGAAAAGAAAUAGGAAUUUUUAGUGGUAAUAAAGUGUACAGAGUUUAGGUAGUAAACAUGCAUAUUAGACAUAAAAAGUGCGGAUGUCAGCGAUUUUGCCGCUGAAUGGAAUUCAAAAAAUGGUUUUAUUGCAAUUGUCACGGUAUCAGUUGCCAUGGAAAUAAUCCAAAAACCGAGAAAAGAAAGUGAAAGCUUAGUAACUUAGUUUUAUCUAAGCCUUUCAUGUAAUUUGCCUAUAAAACCAGAUACCGAGACGUACAAGAAAACACGUGGUUAGAGUUAACAAUUGAAAUAGUAAAAGUAAAAAGGUGAUAGUAAAUCGGCGAAGAAAAAAAAAAAA